rnacentral:sRNA from 1 species
GUUCAAAUUGUUUUUACCAUCCAGGGUC